rnacentral:tRNA from 2 species
GCGAGAGUGGCGGAACUGGGAGACGCACCAGACUUAGGAUCUGGCGGCUUAGGCUAUGGGGGUUCGAGCCCUCCCUCUCGCACCA